GAUGAACGCUGGCGGCGUGCUUAAUACAUGCAAGUCGAGCGAACGGACGAGAAGCUUGCUUCUCUGAUGUUAGCCGCGCACGGGUGAGUCACACGUGUAUAACCUACCUAUCAUACUGGGAACACUUCGGGAAACCGGAGCUUAUACCGGAUAAUAUCCUGCACCGCAUGGUUCGAAAGUAAAAGACGGUGUUGCUGUCACUUAUAGAUGGUUCCGCGCUGCAUUAGCUAGUUGGUAAGGUAACGGCUUACCAAGGCAACGAUGCGUAGCCGACCUGAGAGGGUGAUAGGCCACACUGGAACUGAGACACGGACCAGACUCCUACGGGAGGCAGCAGUAGGGAAUCUUCCGCAAUGGGCGAAAGCCUGACGGAGCAGCGCCGCGUGAGUGAUGAAGGUGUUCGGAUCGUAAAACUCUGUUAUUAGGGAAGAACAUAUGUGUAAGUAACUGUGCACAUCUUGACGGUACCUAAUCAGAAAGCCACGGCUAACUACGUG
rnacentral:rRNA from 1 species